rnacentral:rRNA from 1 species
AGAGUUUGAUCAUGGCUCAGAUUGAACGCUGGCGGCGUGCCUAACACAUGCAAGUCGAGCGGUAACAGGUGUAGCAAUACAUGCUGACGAGCGGCGGACGGGUGAGUAACGCUUGGGAAUCUGCCUGUUAGUGGGGGACAACCCGGGGAAACUCGGGCUAAUACCGCAUACGCACUACGGUGGAAAGCCGGGGACCGCAAGGCCUGGCGCUAACAGAUGAGCCCAAGUCGGAUUAGCUAGUUGGUAGGGUAACGGCCUACCAAGGCGACGAUCCGUAACUGGUCUGAGAGGACGACCAGUCACACCGGAACUGAGACACGGUCCGGACUCCUACGGGAGGCAGCAGUGGGGAAUAUUGGACAAUGGGCGAAAGCCUGAUCCAGCGACGCCGCGUGGGUGAAGAAGGCCUGCGGGUUGUAAAGCCCUUUCGGUGGGGAAGAAAAGCCUCGAGCUAAUAUCUCGGGGUCUUGACGUAACCCAUAGAAGAAGCACCGGCUAACUCUGUGCCAGCAGCGGCGGUAAUAC